rnacentral:tRNA from 1 species
GGGGCUGUAGCUCAGCUGGGAGAGCGCUUGCAUGGCAUGCAAUAGGUCGAGGGUUCAAAUCCCUCCAGCUCCACCA